GUAUAUUGCAGGAAGGCCCCCAUCGGGGGGUAUUUGGCCCCCAUCAGGGGGGUAUUUGGAGACAGAUGUCAAGGAAGAAAGGAACUGCGGGGAGCCACUAUAAACAUUGAAUGCAGGAGACAUCUGCAGGCGGCGUCUGGAGCCAGAUCAGAUAAGUCAUCAUUCUGCCGAACAACGAUGACGUCAGAUUACGGACCAAUCAGACGACAGCGAUUCCAUACUGGCCUGUUUGAAACAUUGCAUAAGUCUGGGGUAGAGUCAGAUAGUUUUUGUUCGACUACGGGAGUUAGGAGAUUUUAAAACACAGGUUCCUUCAAAAUUUUGCUUAGUAGCAGUCUAAUUGCUAAGUGAGAGCAAUAUCACCUCGAGACAGCUUUAGCAUGAGUUGUAUCCUCUGGGCUAAACUAAUUUUUUGUGUCAGCAGAUGGUCGUGACCUGACAGACGCUUUGGUGGCUCUCCUGGCUGUCAUCUUGGAUGACACUACUGAUGCGGCCCUCUUCAGCCCUGAGAGCAUUUCUAUUGCUAUUGAGGAUGAAAUACUUCUGACUGGACCCACAAAUCUGGCUGAGUCAUUUCUUCUGCUGUUUGGGGACAUAUAUGCACUCAACCUAAAGUAUCCUAAAUUAUCUCAAGCUUACCGUCAUGAUUUUCCCAAACAUUUUAAUUUGUCUUGAGGACAACAAGCCACUGAAAGGGCAUCUACAGACACUGAAGAAUGAAUUGUUCAGUGAGUAAAUCACAGUAUUUGUUGACCUUAGUAUUUAGGAGUGAGUUUGUUUUUGUGCCUCUUCUACAUCACUAUUGCACUUUUUGCCUUUUCUUAACUUAUUCACUGCCAAUGCCGUCCAAAGACAUCAAUGGCAUUUUUUAACGGGGAUGGGUGGUGGAGGUUCUUGUGCAGUUUAUGUAUGAUUGUCAAGCCUCUGGAUAACUGCAAUGAGGAAUGGCACCCUGUAGAGGGCAACAAUGCCUCGAGGUGACUGUCCCUCCCUCAGAGGAAGAAGAAGGAGUGGGCAGGGUACAAGAGACAACGAUAAAAGGCAAAUACAAUGGCGGAAAAAGAGAGAAGACAAAAUGAAAACAAUUUAACAAAAAAAGCUUUCGGUACGAGAAAUUUAUUGCGCCAAGGCAAGAAAAAUAUUCCUGCGACCGACAGGAAUGACGCCUUGGAUUAUGCGGGGAAUAAAGGUCGACGCUCCGAGACGAUCGCUUUAUUGCAAAGCUAUCGCCCAAAAUGCCAGCCCAUACAUAUGGCGAGAUGCUCUGAGCCACUUGGCGGCUGAUCGUCUGCCGACCAGGAUUUUAAUAAAUGGGAUCCGGAAUCGUGAUGAGUGAACUCCCUCUGGAUAGCAUCGAAGCAGCCGAGCUUCAUCCCGAGCUUCCUCCGACGAAGAUAACUCAUUUGCAGCUAGCGUUAGCUACAUCUAGCGCGCAAACACACUCCUUCAACCCUGGUUACAUAAAAACAUUUUAGUCCCCACUAGUUCACAUUACAAUGUAACAUCUGUUGUCAGUACAGGAAUUCAAGACCCACAAGUCGAACGUCUUUUAGGAUUGCGACAAAGAAAAGUUAUGCAUCAGCAGACAUUUGACUCCCAUUCCAAUACACAGUGCAGACAAAAAAGGUUGUGCUUUGAGCAGAAGUUGGGACUGGUUUCAAGGAGAAUGACAACCAGACAAGAUCCCAUUCACUGCCACAGAAGAAUAAAAUCCAGAUGUGGAUCAAACUUUGCUAGAUUUUAUGCGCAAUGUAAUAAAAACCUACACUAUUGAGCAAACAGUAGAUGAGGAGAAUUGGGAGGAAGAAAGUGCAAGUGU